AACGAACGCUGGCGGCAUGCCUAACACAUGCAAGUCGAACGAGACCUUCGGGUCUAGUGGCGCACGGGUGCGUAACGCGUGGGAACCUGCCCUUAGGUUCGGAAUAACUCCCCGAAAGGGGUGCUAAUACCGGAUAAUGUCUUCGGACCAAAGAUUUAUCGCCUUUGGAUGGGCCCGCGUUGGAUUAGCUAGUUGGUAGGGUAAAAGCCUACCAAGGCGACGAUCCAUAGCUGGUCUGAGAGGAUGAUCAGCCACACUGGGACUGAGGCACGGCCCAGACUCCUACGGGAGGCAGCAGUGGGGAAUAUUGGUCAAUGGGCGAAAGCCUGAUCCAGCAAUGCCGCGUGAGUGAUGAAGGCCUUAGGGUUGUAAAGCUCUUUUACCCGGGAUGAUAAUGACAGUACCGGGAGAAUAAGCUCCGGCUAACUCCGUG
rnacentral:rRNA from 1 species